UGGCGCGCAGGCGCUUUCCUUGUCUCUCUCCUUUUCCUGCUCCAUGUUGGGGGUUGACAUUGUUGUAGGCCUGGUAACUACAAUCCACCGGCAUCUGCAAACAUGUUGGGACGUUAUCUGUCGGUCUCCACGGGAACAGAGAAUGCAGAUACUGUUGAUAUAUUUCAGCUUUAGUCCAGAUACAUUCGAUGGAAUUCGAGAAACAGGGGAAGACAAAUUGCAUCCCAUUGUAUUGUCUUCACUGGACAAAUCUUUUAGUCAGUCAACAAGCUGAAGAGGAUGACAGCACUGGAACACGACACCUUUGAAUUUCACCAAUGAAGGAACUGUCAAGAGCUUUCCAACUCGUGGAAGACUAAUGGAAAUUUUUAUGGAGUAAGCCCCAAACAGAGAGCGAAGUGCUAAACUGAACAGGGUAAUCUGUGAGGGUGUUAAUUACUGCAGGUAUAUCCACUGGGUAAAGAAAAAGAAAACUGUUUGGUGUCUUGGGACAAAUCUUCAAGACCCUGGUUCUUUUCCUCUUAACUUGAAGAGGACCUGGCUGUUAAAGGUCCUGCCUAAAAUUCAAAACCAAAAUCACUAUGUCUUCAAUUAUUGCAUUUCUCAACACAGAAGGUACUUGUGUCUGCACUUGCUGAGAGAAAGUGGGUCUUUGACUAUCAAAAUCCAAAAAAUAAAGGUCGUCUUCCAGCCAGCUGCCACAACACAAUAGCAUGCGUCUAUUUAAGAUUAAUUGGAACAGUUUCCAUGUAUUGCAGAAUCUCUCUUGAAAAAGGCAAUGUGCCAGCUCAGAUUUUGGCUGAUUUAAGAUGAGAGGUUUUGAGAAAGAGGUUUUUGAACCAUCAGAGCACGAUCGUGGUUUACAUUCUCACCUGUUUCUGAAACUUGGAAAACCUGCAACAGGCAUCUCAGUACCACUGGCAUUAUCUUUGAAAGAUCUUCGAAAUCCAGUGGCUUUAAAGGCGGUGUAACAGUAAGGUCUUCCUUCUAGCCAAUGUCAAUGCAUGAAUCACACAAAGCCAACUCUUUGUGAAGAGCUUUAAAGGUGUCCUCAGAACAUUCCUGAAGGGGUCAGACAUCUCCACCAACUGUUGACUGACCAAAUAAAAACUGAAAAAAUUGCAGAUGUUGUAAAUCGGGAACAAAAACGGAAGUUGCUGGAGACGCUCAGCAGGUCUGGCAGCAUCUGUGAAGAAAAAUCAGAGUUAGUGUUUCAGGUCUGGUGAGGAUGGAUCAAUGGACCCGAAACGUAACUCUGAUUUUUCCUUGACAGAUGCUGCCAGACCUGCUGAGCGUCUCCAGCAACUUCUGUUUUUGUUCUUGACUGACCAAAAUGGCUGAUUUGGGAAGACAUAGGGCACAAAGACCUCAUCAAAAAUGUGAAAAAAAAAGAAAAAUCCUCAACAAUUCAUCUAUUUGACACUCUGGAGAGUUAUGUUCCACAUGAGGCAGUUGGCAGAUCAAGCAGUGGACUUACUAGUCAUCUCAGUUCAUUAAACUAGAGUGGAAGCAAGCCAUCUCCAAACCAAGGAACUGCCUAAGAGAGUGCCUAAGACCAAAACAUGAUCAAGUUACAUCUUAAUGUGAAAUCGUAGUUGAAAAGGGAAGCCACCUCUAUCUGUACAAUUAUCCAUCCAGUACUAUUGGUUGAACAUGAAGGCUUGCCCCUUCCCCUGUACAAGGGCGAAGGGGAUGUGUCUAAUUGGCAAGCACUAAUGAUUUGGCCUCUGCAGCCUUCUCAGAAAAUGAGUUCUGCAGAUUCACCACACUCUGGCUGAAGAAAUUCUCCUCAUCUCAUUUCCAAAGGGGUGUCAAAAGAUAUCUUAGCUGACAAUACCAAGGGAGUUCAAUAUCUGGUUGAAGGACUGUGUUUUCAGGUUUCCAGUGGCGUUCAAAGAACUGCCUUGAAGUCCAACAGUAUUGGACAGGCUUCGGCAUCUCUGAGCAUUGGCAGACCCUACCUGGAGACUCCAUUGAAAUGGCCUCAGUUCAGCCAGAUCAUUGCAGAGACCUACAAGUGCAUGAAAGAGUCUUGGAAAACUCAAAGUGUAAAAUCAUUUUUUUCAUGUUGUAUGUUGUACAUGGUUUGUCUAUCAAGUUUGCAGUUGGCACAGAAUGCUAAGAUAAAAAGGUAAACAAAGAAAAUUGCAACGUGUUAAAGCUGGCUGUUGUGUAUUAUUAAUUUGUGUUGUUGAAAAAAAUAUACAGUUGUGGAAAUUGGAAAUCAGAAACCCUGAGUGCCGAAGAAACACAGCAGUUGUUGAGAGGAAAAAAAAAUUGAUGUUUCAACGUUAUAACAGUGUGUCACUGGACUUGACACUAAUUUGAUUUUCUCUCAACAGACCUGCGAUGCUUCUCUCUAAAUCGUGUUCUCCUUUGUUUGCAUCGGUAUUCUUAUCAUUCUCUUGUAUGUCAGUAGUUACAAAAUAAAGUUCCUUGAAAAUUGGUCUUAA